UGGCGGACGGGUGAGUAACGCGUGGGUAACCUGCCCCAUACAGGGGGAUAACAGUUAGAAUGACUGCUAAUACCGCAUAAGCGCACGGGAACGCAUGUUUCUGUGUGAAAAACUGAGGUAGUAUAAGAUGGACCCGCGUCUGAUUAGCUAGUUGGUGGGGUAACGGCCUACCAAGGCGACGAUCAGUAGCCGGCCUGAGAGGGUGACCGGCCACAUUGGGACUGAGACACGGCCCAAACUCCUACGGAAGGCAGCAG
rnacentral:rRNA from 1 species